UGGAUCCCGAGCUCCGGGCGUCCGCGCGCACCUCCAGGCUCCGCACCGGCAACUGGCUGCGACCCAGCGGUCACGCCUUUACCCUGGUGGGUUCCCCCCGCCGCUCUGCAUUCUGGGGAGCUCCCGGUGGAGCUGUGGGCGCCGCCGAGUCGCGGCUGCAGCCGGAGGAAGGGGCGAGAGGAAAGAACCUUCUGUUGGAUGAAAUAAAAGCAAACACUGGGCCUUCUGCUCUGCCUCCACCUCCACGCCCCUCCCGCGCCUGCCGCCCGCCCGGAUUGCACGGAAAUAGCCUCUCCAAGCUCCUGGGCCGCCCCUUCGCGGUGACUCGCAGAAAGAGCUUCCUGAGCUCCGGCCGGUGGGAAACAAAGGAUGUGGGGAACUGGCGGAAGGAGCCCACGUGGCUGGCGCCAGAUUCCUGUCCCCUCCAGCCUGCAUACGCGCCGGAGGGUCUAGGGCGCCAAUGCGGCCGGGAGUAUUAGAUACUGAGCUACGGGUCAUUCUAUCCACUGCUUGGGAUACUAGGUCGCGUGUAUACGUUCAUGCAGUUUUGAGUUGUGUAAACAGCUUGCAACCACAUUUUGUGUUGCUGGGUUUUGUUUGUUUGGCUUUUUUUUUUUCUUUCUUCCUCUCCACUUCUUUCGCAAACCAGGUCAGUUUGGAGUCUGGAUCCUCACGAAGCAUAGAAACUAUUAUCAAAAUCCUUUCUUGUAUUUAUGCUGAAUAAUUAAUUUUCUAAAACCAGGUCAAGCCCAAAAAUAAAUCCUUUUCAUUAUUAA